UUUUUUUCUACAUCUGUCAUAUUAAUCUACAACACUUCUCACACCAACCCGCCAACUCGCCAACACUUUCAGAUGGCCGCGAUAUCACACUGUUAAAAGGGUAUUUCAAAGUUUCGCGCGCUCCCUUCCGCCCCACAAAGGGCGAAAGUCUUCUAUAUCCAUAAUUUUAAAGAUAAGACAAAUUUAAAAAGGGACCUUCGUAGAGAAUAACCUGAUCCAUCAGAUCACU
rnacentral:lncRNA from 1 species